GUCCCUACGGGCGGCUGCAGUGGGGAAUCUUCCGCAAUGGGCGAAAGCCUGACGGAGCAACGCCGCGUGAGUGAUGAAGGCCCUCGGGUCGUAAAACUCUGUCUUUGGGGAAGAAAAAAAUGACGGUACCCAAGGAGGAAGCCCCGGCUAACUACGUGCCAGCAGCCGCGGUAAAACGUAGGGGGCGAGCGUUGUCCGGAAUUACUGGGCGUAAAGGGCGUGUAGGUGGCCUGUGAAGUCGAAAGUGAAAACCUGGGGCUCAACCCCGGGCCUGCUUUCGAAACCAGCAGGCUUGAGGACAGGAGAGGGAAGCGGAAUUCCCAGUGUAGCGGUGAAAUGCGUAGAUAUUGGGAGGAACACCAGUGGCGAAAGCGGCUUUCUGGCCUGUAACUGACACUGAGGCGCGAAAGCGUGGGGAGCAAACAGGAUUAGAUACCCCAGUAGUC
rnacentral:rRNA from 1 species